GGCCCUUUAGCUCAGUUGGUUAGAGCAGGCGGCUCAUAACCGCUUUGUCGCUGGUUCAAACCCAGCAAGGGCCACCA
rnacentral:tRNA from 1 species